rnacentral:rRNA from 1 species
AUUGAACGCUGGCGGCAGGCCUAACACAUGCAAGUCGAACGAGUGGCGGACGGGUGAGUAAUGUCUGGGAAACUGCCUGAUGGAGGGGGAUAACUACUGGAAACGGUAGCUAAUACCGCAUACCAUCGGAUGUGCACAGAUGGGAUUAUCUAGUAGGUUGGGUAAAGGCUCACCUAUGCGACGAUCCCUAGCUGGUCUGAGAGGAUGACCAGCCACACUGGAACUGAGCCACGGUCCAGACGCCAAGGUGAGGCAGCAGGGGGGAAUAUAGCACAAUGGGCGCAAGCCUGAUGCAGCCAUGCCGCGUGUAUGAAGAAGGCCUUCGGGUUGUAAAGUACUUUCAGCGGGGAGGCGUUACCCGCAGAAGAAGCACCGGCUAACUCCGUGCCAGCAGCCGCGGUAAUAC